UCCCUGGUGGCUCAGACGGUAAAGCGUCUGCCUACAAUGCAGGAGACCCGGGUUCGAUUCCUGGGUCGGGAA
rnacentral:tRNA from 1 species